UACGUAGGGACCAAGCGUUGUUCGGAUUUACUGGGCGUAAAGGGCGCGUAGGCGGUUCGUACAGUCAGACGUGAAAUUCCUGGGCUCAACCUGGGGGCUGCGUUUGAUACGUGCGGACUUGAGUGCGGAAGAGGGUCGUGGAAUUCCCAGUGUAGAGGUGAAAUUCGUAGAUAUUGGGAAGAACACCGGUGGCGAAGGCGGCGACCUGGUCCGAUACUGACGCUGAGGCACGAAAGCGUGGGGAGCAAACAGG
rnacentral:rRNA from 1 species